rnacentral:lncRNA from 10 species
GCUUGCCCACCUCCUCAGAGAGGCCUCCUGACCCCUGACACGGCCUUGCCCUUCACCUCUAUCGUCCUUUAGAACAGCCCCCACCUCCCGCACAUCAUGCAGUUGCAGGUUCAAUGGCUACUGCUUGUCCUCCAGACUCCUCUCCACAAGCCAACAGCUCUCUCCUGGCUUUGAUUUUCAACCAUUUAAGUUGAAAAAAAUUCAAAACAAAUGAAAUGCACUUAAGAGAAAGCCUUGAGGAGUUCAGCAGGCCACCCAAAGUGAAGGGACUCCUUUGGGGGUCUUUGUUGUUAUCAAUUAUUUAUUGAGCCCUGAUGUGUUCCUGGCGCCACCAAGACCGAAAGGAGACAGGGUCCCUGCCCUGGGGCAUCCCAACAAAGAAGGGAGAGUUUGUGAAGCUUAAAAAUGUCCCAGAUGGUAAAACAGUUACACGUCAUA